UUCCAGGAACAUCCCUUGAAUAGGGAGGACAAGGAGAUGGGGAAACAGGUCUGUCUGCACCCCUGUGGACUGAUGUGCUGCUCAAGGUGAAUGACUCCAGGAGAUGCAAUGGAGCGGGUUAUGCCCUCAUGAACUUUGCAAUAUCAGAAGGAUGACCAGAGGUCUAGCAGCUGGAAUCCAUGGCAGAUUCUGCUGGCACCCUACAAGCUUAGGCUGAUGAGGAGCCAGCCCUGAGGAGUGACCUGUCUGACACAGGUCAGUUGUAGUUCUACCUGGCAAGCAAGACAAUACAUCCUGAAUAUGAGAGAAACAGUUCAUCCACUGGCUAUUCCACACUCAGAAGCAAACCUGGUAGCAGGGAAUGUUUUGUGAUUGUCAGUUUACAGUUUUGUAACGGGUUGA